GGUCAUAGCUUUUCUUCCAAGGAGCAAGCAUCUUUAAUUUCAUGGCUGCAAAAUCAUCAUCUGCAGUGAUUUUAGAACCCAAUAAAAUAAAGUCUCUCAAUGUUUCCAUUGUUUCCCCAUCUAUUUGCAACGGGACUGGAUGCCAUGAUCUUAGCUUUUUGCAUGUUGAGUUUUAAGCCAGCAUUUUCACCGUCCUCUUUCACUUUCAUCAAGAGGCUCUUCAGUUCCUCUUUGCUUUUGUCUUUGAACAUCAGGUGUUAAAACUUCAGAAGACAAGGGGAUGGAAACCAGAUGGGGAUGUAGUUUCUUGACCCUCUCACAGGCCUGCCAAGGACCUCAAGGAAUGGAUUCCUGGGCCUCCCCACUCUCUAUGGGUCCAGUCCACUCUGGCUGCAGCCCCUUACCCUCUGAUCCUGACUCUGGCUUAUUCCAGUCCUCCAGCAAAGGUGCAAAUGCAAACCUUGGUACCGCCCUGCACGAGUGUGUGUCACCUCCAGACUGGAAUGAUGGCCACCAGGUACUCCCUCUUGGUCAGCCUCUUGCCUCCUCCAGGCAAGGGGUUGGUCACUUUAUGCCAGGGUUCUGCUAGCCUCAGAACCCUCCAACAACUCAAGGGGUAAGAUUUGAGGUUGAGUUUUUGAACCAGUGAAGCUGAUGGGAACUCAGAGGCCCAAACCCAUUCAAAUGUAAAGGCAUGGGAACUCAGAGGGUGGGGCAGGGGGCAUUUCCGGGGCAGGCCUGGUCAAGCCCCCUGCGCCCCAGCCAUCCCCGGAGUAUGUGAGGCAACCUUUCUUUCUGAACACAGCUGGAGUAGUUCAGGGUCCUGGAGGCUGAGAGCCUGGAGGAGGCACUCUGCCCUCCUGUACCCCCUCUUACCCUGUUCCCUCCCUCGCACCCCACCCCCCAACAGUGAGAGGACCGGUUCUUCCCAGGUUGCCUUUGACGGGAUAGAGUGCUUGUGGUCUCCAGGUGGGGGGAUAGAGUGCCUGUGGUCUCCAGGUGGGGGUCGUCAACAUUUGCAAUCCCUGCUUGGCUUGUGCAAGCGGCUCCUCCCCUUCCAAAUUCCCACAUCCCCACUCUCCUGCCAGGCCCGGGGCCAGCGGGUGGGGCUGGCUGGGGCCCAACUGGCCUUGCUCAACUUAUCCAGCCUUUCCUGUGUCUUGCCCUGGCCAAGGCUUGGAUUCUGCUGGGCUCUAUCGGGACACACCCUGUGCCGGUUGCUGGGCUGGGGGAGGGAUGGCAAGAGUGGGCCCCUGCUUCAAAGUGCUCUCGACCAAGAGGAGGAGGGAGCCGGGAGGUGACACCCCAGGCCAGCAGUUGCAGGGAUGGCUUUGAGAGCUGUGGGGUUUCCCCAAGCUGGAGUAGACUUUCUGGGAAAACCCCCUGGAGGACUUCGGGUGGCUUGGGACUGCAAACGGAGGUAACCUGACUGCAGGGUUAAGGCACCACUGCAAACCAGCAGGACGGUGGCAGCUCCAGGUGGGGCUUUUAGUCUGGCAGAGGACUGGAUCGUGGGAAACUCGGGUUCUUGGGCCUCCAGGAGGCAGGAAGACUAGCUUUGGGGCCACUGAAAAGACCAAGAGGGGAAGACCCGGGGGGAGCCCUGGGGACUUCUCAGAGCAAGCCGGUGGUCUCCAUCGGCCUCAGUUGAACGUUUCUGUCCCAGUCAGCAGCAAUCUUCCACCCUGGACGGCCAGAGAGUCCAGUGGUACUGGUGGGGCUGGCAGGAUGGUCGUCACAGCUUUGUCACAGUGGCCCCGUUAAACUGCCCCCA
ensembl:lncRNA